AUCACCCAUGUCUCCGAACUGUGAGGCAAGAAGGCCAUAAAGGGUCCAAGAAAUUGGGCAUGCCCAGUAGUACCAUCUCCACCAUACAGAAGCACAUUAUCUUAAAGACAUCUUACUUCUUGAUAUGACAAAGCCUCCAAGGACUAUAAGCACCAGCUGUGCAAAGGAACCGAAUGUGUUUGCAACAACCAUUUCUCUACCACAUGCAGCCAGGAGCCGGAAGAGUCCAGACGCCAUUUGGCUAACCAGUGCAAAUAUCAAAAAUUGUCUAAACAUCCUGUGCAAAGAAAAUUGUCUGGUUAUUUCAAGACGCUGAAAGAUAUAUAUUACAAAUUUGCAA